rnacentral:rRNA from 1 species
AAUGAACGCUGGCGGCAUGCCUAACACAUGCAAGUCGAACGAAGGCUUCGGCCUUAGUGGCGCACGGGUACGUAACGCGUGGUAAUCUGCCCCUUGGUUCCGUAUCCCAGUUAGAAAUAACUGCUAAUACCGGAGGGUCUCAUAAGGCCAAAGAUUUAUCGCCGCGUGUUGUGCCCUCGUAGGAUUAGCUAGUUGGUGUGGUAAGAGCGCACCAAGGCGAGGAUCCUUAGCUGGUCUGAGAGGAUGAUCAGCAACACUGGAACUGAGACACGGCUCAGACUGGUACGGGAGGCAGCAGUGGGGAAUAUUGGACAAUGGGCGAAAGCCUGAUAAAGCAGUGUCGGGUGAGUGAUGAAGGGCUUAGGGUUGUAAAGCUCUCUGACCCGGGAUGAUAAUGACAGUACCGGGAGAAUAAGCUCCGGCUAACUACGUG